rnacentral:rRNA from 1 species
AGAGUUUGAUCAUGGCUCAGGAUGAACGCUGGCGGCGUGCCUAAUACAUGCAAGUCGAACGAGUUCUGAUUAUUGAAGGGUGCUUGCAUCUUGAUUUAAUUUUGAACGAGUGGCGGACGGGUGAGUAACACGUGGGUAACCUGCCCUUAAGUGGGGGAUAACAUUUGGAAACAGAUGCUAAUACCGCAUAAAUCCAAGAACCGCAUGGUUCUUGGCUGAAAGAUGGCGUAAGCUAUCGCUUUUGGAUGGACCCGCGGCGUAUUAGCUAGUUGGUGAGGUAACGGCUCACCAAGGCAAUGAUACGUAGCCGAACUGAGAGGUUGAUCGGCCACAUUGGGACUGAGACACGGCCCAAACUCCUACGGGAGGCAGCAGUAGGGAAUCUUCCACAGUGGACGCAAGUCUGAUGGAGCAACGCCGCGUGAGUGAAGAAGGCUUUCGGGUCGUAAAACUCUGUUGUUGGAGAAGAAUGGUCGGCAGAGUAACUGUUGUCGGCGUGACGGUAUCCAACCAGAAAGCCACGGCUAACUACGUGCCAGCAGCCGCGGUAAUACGUAGGUGGCAAGCGUUAUCCGGAUUUAUUGGGCGUAAAGCGAGCGCAGGCGGUUUUUUAAGUCUGAUGUGAAAGCCCUCGGCUUAACCGAGGAAGUGCAUCGGAAACUGGGAAACUUGAGUGCAGAAGAGGACAGUGGAACUCCAUGUGUAGCGGUGAAAUGCGUAGAUAUAUGGAAGAACACCAGUGGCGAAGGCGGCUGUCUGGUCUGUAACUGACGCUGAGGCUCGAAAGCAUGGGUAGCGAACAGGAUUAGAUACCCUGGUAGUCCAUGCCGUAAACGAUGAAUGCUAGGUGUUGGAGGGUUUCCGCCCUUCAGUGCCGCAGCUAACGCAUUAAGCAUUCCGCCUGGGGAGUACGACCGCAAGGUUGAAACUCAAAGGAAUUGACGGGGGCCCGCACAAGCGGUGGAGCAUGUGGUUUAAUUCGAAGCAACGCGAAGAACCUUACCAGGUCUUGACAUCUUUUGAUCACCUGAGAGAUCAGGUUUCCCCUUCGGGGGCAAAAUGACAGGUGGUGCAUGGUUGUCGUCAGCUCGUGUCGUGAGAUGUUGGGUUAAGUCCCGCAACGAGCGCAACCCUUAUGACUAGUUGCCAGCAUUUAGUUGGGCACUCUAGUAAGACUGCCGGUGACAAACCGGAGGAAGGUGGGGAUGACGUCAAAUCAUCAUGCCCCUUAUGACCUGGGCUACACACGUGCUACAAUGGAUGGUACAACGAGUUGCAAGACCGCGAGGUCAAGCUAAUCUCUUAAAGCCAUUCUCAGUUCGGACUGUAGGCUGCAACUCGCCUACACGAAGUCGGAAUCGCUAGUAAUCGCGGAUCAGCACGCCGCGGUGAAUACGUUCCCGGGCCUUGUACACACCGCCCGUCACACCAUGAGAGUUUGUAACACCCGAAGCCGGUGGCGUAACCCUUUUAGGGAGCGAGCCGUCUAAGGUGGGACAAAUGAUUAGGGUGAAGUCGUAACAAGGUA